CUGCUACCCUCAGCCACUGCGAAAGCCAACUGGGCAACAAUUCAGUAUGAAAACUACUGUGCUGAGAGAUAGCAGUUUUGAUGCUGACCAUUUUUGCUACAACCCAGGCAGAGAGGGAAUGGCUACAGAGUUGGCAAACCGGAACCAGCCCUGCUGAAACAGCAUCAAAAGGUAUAAACUCAACACUGUAGUUUCAGAAAGAGAUAAGAAAACCAGGGUGUAGGGAGGUGAAGUAACUUAUCCUGCACGAAGUCCAACAGCAAGUGGAGUCACCAUCAGAAUCCAAGUAUCAGGCUCCAGAGCCACAUGCUUAGCCUCUGUGAUGUACUGCCUCCCAUAAAACAUGCCUC